rnacentral:misc_RNA from 1 species
UCCGCGUUAUUCGCGGCAGUCUCUCUAGAAGGCCCUAUCUCUAGGGUUGUCAGAGGCAUUCUAGCCCAGGUAAGGUUCUUCGCGUUGCGUCGAAUUAAACCACAUGCUCCACCGCUUGUGCGGGUCCCCGUCAAUUCCUUUGAGUUUCAGUCUUGCGACCGUACUCCCCAGGCGGAAUGCUUAAAGCGUUAGCGACGGCACCCGGGGACUUUAUAACCCCAGACACCAAGCAUUCAUCGUUUAAGGCUAGGACUAC